rnacentral:sRNA from 1 species
AGUAUAUAAUUCACCUAGUACUACAUUAUAUAUUACAAGUAAAAUGAAAAAUAAAUUAAGGUAACACGGUAAAUGCCACAACACUGCUAAUUGCCGCUGCAAUAGCUCCGACCACAAAUCUUGGUAAGUUUCCACCUCCAAAAAGCGCAUCAAUAGGACCAACUCCAAACGAUACAAUCAUUUGUGGUAUCACUAUUGCCAUGUUUAAAACUCCUAGAGACAGUCCUGUAGAGAUGACAACGGAAAAAAAACUCAUCCUUAUUAAUUUGAUAUUUAAAUAUAUAUGUUAU